GACGAACGCUGGCGGCGUGCUUAACACAUGCAAGUCGAACGGUAAACCUCUUCGGGGGGGGUCAGUGGCGAACGGGUGGGUAACACGUGGGCAACCUGCCCCCGGCUCUGGGAUAACUACAAGAAGUAGGGGCUAAUACCGGAUGGUCACCGCUUCCCGCAUGGGUGGUGGUGAAAAGGGUUUGCGGCUGGGGAUGGGCACGCGGCGUAUCAGCUUGUUGGUGGGGUGGUGGCGGACCAAGGCGACGACGGGGAGCCGGCCUGAGAGGGUGAGCGGCCACACGGGGACUGAGAGACGGACCCGACUCCUACGGGCGGCAGCAGUGGGGAAUAUUGCGCAAUGGGAGGAAGCCUGACGCAGCGACGCCGCGGGGGUGAUGACGGCUUGCGGGUAGUAACCUUCUUUCAGCAGGGACGACGCGCUAGUGACGGUACCUGCAGAAGAAGCACCGGCUAACUACGUG
rnacentral:rRNA from 1 species